rnacentral:tRNA from 1 species
GGCGGCCUGGUGGGUACAGGGAGCGGUCUGCAAAACCGUAUACGCGGGUUCGAAUCCCGCCAUCACGUCA